rnacentral:lncRNA from 1 species
CCGACUUUGCGUAUUAGCACUAAGUUCUUUCGGUCCGUUUUUAUGAUUCCCGACUUUGCGUAUUAGCUUUAAGUUCUUUCGGUCCGUUUUUAUGAUUCCCGACUUUGCGUAUUAGCUAUAAGUUCUUUCGGUCCGUUUUUAAGAUCCCCGACUUUGCGUAUUAGCUCUAAGUUCUUUCGGUCCAUUUUUAUGAUCCCCGACUUUGCGUAUUAGCUUUAAGUUCUUUCGGUCCGUUUUUAUGAUCCCCGACUUUGCGUAUUAGCUUUAAGUUCUUUCGGUCCGUUUUUAUGAUCCCCAACUUUGCGUAUUAGCUCUAAGUUCUUUCGGUCCAUUUUUAUGAUCCCCGACUUUGCGUAUUAGCUUUAAGUUCUUUCGGUCCGUUUUUGUACCUUCGAGUAUUAGCUCUAAGUUCUUUCGGUCCGUUUUUAUGAUCCCCGACUUUGCGUUAUCCUAGCUCUAAGUUCUUUUCGGUCGUUUUUAAUGAUCCCCGACUUUUCGUAUUAGCUCUAAGUUCUUUCGGUCGUUUUUUAUGAUCCCCGACUUUGCGUAUUAGCUCUAAGUUCUUUCGGUCCAUUUUUAUGAUCCCCGACUUUGCGUAUUAGCUCUAAGUUCUUUCGGUCGUUUUUAUGAUCCUCGACUUUUCGUAUUAACUCUAAGUUCUUUCGGUCCAUUUUUAUGAUCCCCGACUUUUCGUAUUAGCUCUAAGUUCUUUUGGUCGUUUUUAUGAUCCCGACUUUGCAUAUUAGCUCUAAGUUCCUUCGGUCCGUUUUUAUGAUCCCCGACUUUGCGUAUUAGCUCUAAGUUCUUUCGGUCCGUUUUUAUGAUCCCUGACUUUGCAUAUUAGCUUUAAGUUAUUUCGGUCCGUUUUUAUGAUCCCCGACUUUGCGUAUUAGCUCUUAAGUUCUUUCGGUCCGUCUUUAUAAUUCCCGACUUUGCGUAAUAGCUCUUAGUUCUUUCGGUCAUUUUUAUGAUCCCCGACUUUGCGUAUUAGCUCUAAGUUCUUUCGGUCGUUUUUAUGAUCCCUGACUUUACAUAUGACCUCAAAGUUCUUUCGGUCGUUUUUAUGAUCCACGACUUUGCGUAUUAGCUCUAAGUUCUUUUGGUCCGUUUUUAUGAUCC